GGUUAAGCGACUAAGCGUACACGGUGGAUGCCCUGGCAGUCAGAGGCGAUGAAGGACGUGCUAAUCUGCGAUAAGCGUCGGUAAGGUGAUAUGAACCGUUAUAACCGGCGAUUUCCGAAUGGGGAAACCCAGUGUGUUUCGACACACUAUCAUUAACUGAAUCCAUAGGUUAAUGAGGCGAACCGGGGGAACUGAAACAUCUAAGUACCCCGAGGAAAAGAAAUCAACCGAGAUUCCCCCAGUAGCGGCGAGCGAACGGGGAGCAGCCCAGAGCCUGAAUCAGUGUGUGUGUUAGUGGAAGCGUCUGGAAAGGCGCGCGAUACAGGGUGACAGCCCCGUACACAAAAAUGCACAUGCUGUGAGCUCGAUGAGUAGGGCGGGACACGUGGUAUCCUGUCUGAAUAUGGGGGGACCAUCCUCCAAGGCUAAAUACUCCUGACUGACCGAUAGUGAACCAGUACCGUGAGGGAAAGGCGAAAAGAACCCCGGCGAGGGGAGUGAAAAAGAACCUGAAACCGUGUACGUACAAGCAGUGGGAGCACGCUUAGGCGUGUGACUGCGUACCUUUUGUAUAAUGGGUCAGCGACUUAUAUUCUGUAGCAAGGUUAACCGAAUAGGGGAGCCGAAGGGAAACCGAGUCUUAACUGGGCGUUAAGUUGCAGGGUAUAGACCCGAAACCCGGUGAUCUAGCCAUGGGCAGGUUGAAGGUUGGGUAACACUAACUGGAGGACCGAACCGACUAAUGUUGAAAAAUUAGCGGAUGACUUGUGGCUGGGGGUGAAAGGCCAAUCAAACCGGGAGAUAGCUGGUUCUCCCCGAAAGCUAUUUAGGUAGCGCCUCGUGAAUUCAUCUCCGGGGGUAGAGCACUGUUUCGGCAAGGGGGUCAUCCCGACUUACCAACCCGAUGCAAACUGCGAAUACCGGAGAAUGUUAUCACGGGAGACACACGGCGGGUGCUAACGUCCGUCGUGAAGAGGGAAACAACCCAGACCGCCAGCUAAGGUCCCAAAGUCAUGGUUAAGUGGGAAACGAUGUGGGAAGGCCCAGACAGCCAGGAUGUUGGCUUAGAAGCAGCCAUCAUUUAAAGAAAGCGUAAUAGCUCACUGGUCGAGUCGGCCUGCGCGGAAGAUGUAACGGGGCUAAACCAUGCACCGAAGCUGCGGCAGCGACGCUUAUGCGUUGUUGGGUAGGGGAGCGUUCUGUAAGCCUGUGAAGGUGUACUGUGAGGUAUGCUGGAGGUAUCAGAAGUGCGAAUGCUGACAUAAGUAACGAUAAAGCGGGUGAAAAGCCCGCUCGCCGGAAGACCAAGGGUUCCUGUCCAACGUUAAUCGGGGCAGGGUGAGUCGACCCCUAAGGCGAGGCCGAAAGGCGUAGUCGAUGGGAAACAGGUUAAUAUUCCUGUACUUGGUGUUACUGCGAAGGGGGGACGGAGAAGGCUAUGUUGGCCGGGCGACGGUUGUCCCGGUUUAAGCGUGUAGGCUGGUUUUCCAGGCAAAUCCGGAAAAUCAAGGCUGAGGCGUGAUGACGAGGCACUACGGUGCUGAAGCAACAAAUGCCCUGCUUCCAGGAAAAGCCUCUAAGCAUCAGGUAACAUCAAAUCGUACCCCAAACCGACACAGGUGGUCAGGUAGAGAAUACCAAGGCGCUUGAGAGAACUCGGGUGAGGGAACUAGGCAAAAUGGUGCCGUAACUUCGGGAGAAGGCACGCUGAUAUGUAGGUGAAGCGACUUGCUCGUGGAGCUGAAAUCAGUCGAAGAUACCAGCUGGCUGCAACUGUUUAUUAAAAACACAGCACUGUGCAAACACGAAAGUGGACGUAUACGGUGUGACGCCUGCCCGGUGCCGGAAGGUUAAUUGAUGGGGUCAGCGCAAGCGAAGCUCUUGAUCGAAGCCCCGGUAAACGGCGGCCGUAACUAUAACGGUCCUAAGGUAGCGAAAUUCCUUGUCGGGUAAGUUCCGACCUGCACGAAUGGCGUAAUGAUGGCCAGGCUGUCUCCACCCGAGACUCAGUGAAAUUGAACUCGCUGUGAAGAUGCAGUGUACCCGCGGCAAGACGGAAAGACCCCGUGAACCUUUACUAUAGCUUGACACUGAACAUUGAGCCUUGAUGUGUAGGAUAGGUGGGAGGCUUUGAAGUGUGGACGCCAGUCUGCAUGGAGCCGACCUUGAAAUACCACCCUUUAAUGUUUGAUGUUCUAACGUGGACCCGUAAUCCGGGUUGCGGACAGUGUCUGGUGGGUAGUUUGACUGGGGCGGUCUCCUCCUAAAGAGUAACGGAGGAGCACGAAGGUUGGCUAAUCCUGGUCGGACAUCAGGAGGUUAGUGCAAUGGCAUAAGCCAGCUUGACUGCGAGCGUGACGGCGCGAGCAGGUGCGAAAGCAGGUCAUAGUGAUCCGGUGGUUCUGAAUGGAAGGGCCAUCGCUCAACGGAUAAAAGGUACUCCGGGGAUAACAGGCUGAUACCGCCCAAGAGUUCAUAUCGACGGCGGUGUUUGGCACCUCGAUGUCGGCUCAUCACAUCCUGGGGCUGAAGUAGGUCCCAAGGGUAUGGCUGUUCGCCAUUUAAAGUGGUACGCGAGCUGGGUUUAGAACGUCGUGAGACAGUUCGGUCCCUAUCUGCCGUGGGCGCUGGAGAACUGAGGGGGGGCUGCUCCUAGUACGAGAGGACCGGAGUGGACGCAUCACUGGUGUUCGGGUUGUCAUGCCAAUGGCACUGCCCGGUAGCUAAAUGCGGAAGAGAUAAGUGCUGAAAGCAUCUAAGCACGAAACUUGCCCCGAGAUGAGUUCUCCCUGACCCUUUAAGGGUCCUGAAGGAACGUUGAAGACGACGACGUUGAUAGGCCGGGUGUGUAAGCGCAGCGAUGCGUUGAGCUAACCGGUACUAAUGAACCGUGAGGCUUAACCUUAC
rnacentral:rRNA from 1 species